ACCUCUCAAUCCCGUUUCAUUUUGUGAAGCGGGUUUGGAUUUGGACGCUGCCGUGGCUCACGCUUCGGCUCGUCUUGAAAUGCAUCAGCUGGUCCGCCGCCCGAGUUCAACAACGGUGUGAUAAGAAACGCUUCGUGACUGUGGCGCCGUGUUACGUUGGCUCGAGCGAGGGUCGCUUCCAAUCGUCUUCGGACAAACUCAUGUC
rnacentral:misc_RNA from 1 species